UACGUAGGGUGCGAGCGUUAAUCGGAAUUACUGGGCGUAAAGCGUGCGCAGGCGGUUUUGUAAGCCAGAUGUGAAAUCCCCGGGCUUAACCUGGGAACUGCAUUUGGGACUGCAAGGCUUGAGUGCGGCAGAGGAGACUGGAAUUCCUGGUGUAGCAGUGAAAUGCGUAGAUAUCAGGAGGAACACCGGUGGCGAAGGCGCUCAUCUGGCCCAAUACUGACGCUGAAGCUCGAAAGCUAGGGGAGCAAACGGG
rnacentral:rRNA from 1 species